GACGAACGCUGGCGGCGUGCCUAAUACAUGCAAGUAGAACGCACAGUUUAUACCGUAGCUUGCUACACCAUAGACUGUGAGUUGCGAACGGGUGAGUAACGCGUAGGUAACCUGCCUGGUAGCGGGGGAUAACUAUUGGAAACGAUAGCUAAUACCGCAUAAUAUUAAUUAUUGCAUGAUAAUUAAUUGAAAGGUGCAAUUGCACCACUACCAGAUGGACCUGCGUUGUAUUAGCUAGUAGGUGAGGUAACGGCUCACCUAGGCGACGAUACAUAGCCGACCUGAGAGGGUGAUCGGCCACACUGGGACUGAGACACGGCCCAGACUCCUACGGGAGGCAGCAGUAGGGAAUCUUCGGCAAUGGACGAAAGUCUGACCGAGCAACGCCGCGUGAGUGAAGAAGGUUUUCGGAUCGUAAAGCUCUGUUGUAAGAGAAGAACGGGUGUGAGAGUGGAAGGUUCACACUGUGACGGUAGCUUACCAGAAAGGGACGGCUAACUACGUG
rnacentral:rRNA from 1 species